UACGUAGGGGGCGAGCGUUGUCCGGAGUUACUGGGCGUAAAGGGCAUGCAGGCGGUCGGACGCGUUUUGUGUGACAGCGGGUGGCUCAACUACGCGAGCAUACGAAAGACGGUUUGACUUGAGGGCUCGAGAGGGAUACGGAAUUCCGGGUGGAGUGGUGAAAUGCGUAGAGAUCCGGAGGAACACCAGCGGCGAAGGCGGCAUCCUGGACUGGUACUGACGCUCAUGAGCGAAAGCGAUGGGGAGC
rnacentral:rRNA from 1 species